UCUCCCUUUGCUCCCUCCUUUUUCUUUUUCAAUCCCACCCUCCUUUUCUCCAUGUAUUGCACGUUGUAAUACCCAGUCACUCUCACAGACACAGAAGCAGACGGGAACUGAAUACUGGUCGACAUGCCGACAGGGGAAGGAUUUAAUUUAAAGGGAGCUUGAAAACGAGACACUGUGCUGAUGUACAGAGAGGACUGCAGCAGCCUACACCAUGAUCGGCUGGUUUGACAAGUAUACCCUCUCUCCACCCUGCUCCUUUUACGGGGAUUGGUGAUUGUGGGGUGGUUCUUCAGCCCUAGUCGAGCUGCCAUCUCAAGAAGGUAGGGGUCUGUUGCCAAAUCUGCCCCCCUCAUCACCCUUACAUUACUCCACAGACGUCGGAACUUCUGGCUGAUGCAUAUGUGGUCGAUCUGGUUUUCAGUGAUACAGUCUGGAGAUCUCCAAGUGGCUUUGUGGAUUUGCUGGUGCAUGAAGAUGCUGCUUCCUAUCACUAACUGGUUGAGUGCACAGGUCUGUAAACCUUUCCCCAUUCUCGUUCAUCUUACCUAGCCCUUGUGUUCACAUUACCUCCUCAUGACCUGUGUUAUCCGACCCUAUCUUGGCAUUGAGAUCCCCCAUAAGUACCGUGAUGUCUUUGUUUCUACUCUUGUCCAGCUCAGCUUGUAGUUGCUGGUAGAAGGCAUCUUUCUUCUCUUCCUCCGCAUCAUUUGUGGGAGCAUAGCACUGUAUGACCCUAAAGUUGAUGCUGCUUUUCUUUGUGGCAAACUUGGCAGAGAUGAUACGUGAGCUGAUGGGUUCCCAGCCGAUGGUGUGGGAAGUGUGUGUGUAUUUGCCUGUAUAUCUUGAGACACCCAAGAUAUGCAGGUAAAGAUAAAGACUUGUGUAAUCUUAGAGUAGGGAAGAAUUUGUAGUAAAAUUGGUACAGAUUCAAGAAAGCUAAUGAAGGAGGAAGCCUUUUUUUUGCAUUAUCCAUAAAAUUGUUUUAUCCUCUACUAUUUUCCAUACCAGGGUCGUUUUAAUCACUGUGGCAAGUGGU